rnacentral:rRNA from 1 species
CAGUUGCAUAGAUUUUAAUGAGUGCUAAGAGAAUGAUUGAACAAUUAUAGGCUUUCUUUAGUUAAAUAAUUAAAUUUAAUUUUUUUAGUGCAAAAGCAAAAAUUAAAUUUAGGGACAAGAAGACCCUAUGAAUUUUAAUUUAAUUUAUAAUUUGAAAUUUUAAAUUAAAUUUGAUUGGGGCGAUGGAAAAAGAAUGAGUAUCUUUUUUAGUUUUAAAAAUUGGUUCCGUUUUUAACGAUUAAAUGAGAAAAAUACUCUAGGGAUAACAGCGUAAUAAUUUUGGAUAGUUCUUAUAGAUAAAAUAGUUUGCGACCUCGAUGUUGGAUUAGGAUUCUUUCUUGGCGAAGAAGUUAAGAAAAAGAAGUUUGCUCAACUUUUAAAUUCCUACA